rnacentral:rRNA from 1 species
GAUGAACGCUAGCUACAGGCUUAACACAUGCAAGUCGCAGGGUAACAUGAGGAAAGCUUGCUUUCCUUGAUGACGACUGGCGCACGGGUGAGUAACGCGUAUCCAACCUUCUCAUAACUACGGGCUAACCCGUUGAAAGACGGCCUAAUACCGUAUGAUAUCGUUUGCUGACAUCAAAUAACGAUUAAAGGUUUAGCGGAUAUGGAUGGGGAUGCGUCUGAUUUGCUGGAUGGCGGGGUAACAGCACAUCAAGGCGCCGCACAGGAGGGGCUCCGAGAGGGAGGUCCCCCGCAUUGGAGCUGAGACACGGACCAAACUCCUACGGGAGGCAGCAGUGAGGAAUAUUGGUCAAUGGGCGAGAGCCUGAACCAGCCAAGUAGCGGGCAGGACGACGGCCCUAUGGGUUGUAAACUGCUUUUAUGUGGGGUAAAAGUGCGUGACGGGUCAUACAUUGCAGGUACCAAAUGAGUAAGGACCGGCUAAUUCCGUG